UACAGAGGGUGCAAGCGUUGUUCGGAAUUAUUGGGCGUAAAGCGCGUGUAGGCGGCUUUGCAAGUCGGGUGUGAAAGCCCUCGGCUCAACCGAGGAAGUGCGCCCGAAACUGCAGAGCUUGAGUACCGGAGAGGAUGGCGGAAUUCCCCAAGUAGAGGUGAAAUUCGUAGAUAUGGGGAGGAACACCGGUGGCGAGGGCGGCCAUCUGGACGGAUACUGACGCUGAGACGCGAAAGCGUGGGUAGCAAACAGG
rnacentral:rRNA from 1 species